GAUGAACGCUGGCGGCGUGCCUAAUACAUGCAAGUCGAGCGAACGGACGAGAAGCUUGCUUCUCUGAUGUUAGCGGCGGACGGGUGAGUAACACGUGGAUAACCUACCUAUAAGACUGGGAUAACUUCGGGAAACCGUAGCUAAUACCGGAUAAUAUUUUGAACCGCAUGGUUCAAAAGUGAAAGACGGUCUUGCUGUCACUUAUAGAUGGAUCCGCGCUGCAUUAGCUAGUUGGUAAGGUAACGGCUUACCAAGGCAACGAUGCAUAGCCGACCUGAGAGGGGGAUCGGCCACACUGGAACUGAGACACGGUCCAGACUCCUACGGGAGGAAGCAGUAGGGAAUCUUCCGCAAUGGGCGAAAGCCUGACGGAGCAACUCCGCGUGAGUGAUGAAGGUCUUCGGAUCGUAAAACUCUGUUAUUAGGGAAGAACAUAUGUGUAAGUAACUGUGCACAUCUUGACGGUACCUAAUCAGAAAGCCACGGCUAACUACGUG
rnacentral:rRNA from 1 species